GUGCAGCAGUCGCGAAAACUUUACAAUGUGCGAAAGCACGAUAAGGGAACUCUGAGUGCCUCCUAAGGAGGCUGUUCUGAUGUCUAAAAAGCAACAGAAGUAAGGGCUGGGUAAGACCGGUGCCAGCCGCCGCGGUAACACCGGCAGCCCAAGUGGUAGCCACGUUUAUUGGGUCUAAAGCGUUCGUAGCCGGCCAGGUAAGUUCCUUGGUAAAUUUAGCCGCUUAACGGUUAAGCUUUCAGGGAAUACUGCUUGGCUUGGGACUGGGAGAGGUCAGAGGUACUCCGGGGGUAGGGGUGAAAUCUAUUAAUCCCUGGGGGACCACCGGUAGCGAAGGCGUCUGACCAGACCAGGUCCGACGGUGAGGGACGAAGGCUAGGGGCGCGAACCGGAUUAGAUACCCCU
rnacentral:rRNA from 1 species